CUACGGGAUGCUCCAGGCGCGAAACCUUUACAAUGUACGUAAGUGCGAUAAGGGAACUCCCAGUGCUCAUGUAAUGCAUGGGCUUUUGUUAAGUGUAAAUAGCUUGGCGAAUAAGUGGUGGGUAAGACGGGUGCCAGCCGCCGCGGUAACACCUGCGCCACGAGUGGCAUUCACGUUUACUGGGCCUAAGCGUUCGUAGCCGGAUAGAUAAGUCUUAAGUGAAAUCGUUGCGCUUAACAAAACGACGUGCUUGAGAUACUGUUUAUCUAGGGACCGGGAGGAGUUAGGGGUAUUCCAGAGGGAGCGGUAAAAUGCUGUAAUCUCUGGAGGACCACCUGUGGCGAAGGCGCCUAACUAGAACGGGUCCGACGGUGAGGAACGAAAGCCAGGGGAGCAAAACGGAUUAGAUACCCGGGUAGUC
rnacentral:rRNA from 1 species